UCUCCCCUAGAACAGGGUUUCAUUUAGGGUGAGAUGAUUUGUUAUAGGCAUUGAAUCAAGGUUUCGUGAUCAAGUGACAAGAUAGCUUUUGAAGACAGGUUGAAGAAAUGUAGGUGCUGUUGCAAGCAAUGAUAUGCAUGCUAUGAAGAAAUCAGGCUGAGCAUUACUAAGAAGACCUCUACAAUCAGUGUCAUAAAGUAACUGAAGUAAGAAUGUCUCUCAUCCUACAUCUGAGUCAUCUGAGCUUCUUUACAGGAUUUGUACACUGAGUGAAGGUAAUCUCUGAUCAGUCAGAUCCCAAAAGCCCUAUCUUUCAUGAACGUAUUUCAUGCACUUGUGAAAAUGGGCAUAGUGAUGACUGCAAAAAAAUAUUGCUUGCUGUUACCUCAACUGAUUUCACUUGGAGUCAGACUACUUUUCAACAGUUUGUACCUGUGACUUCAUACAGUCAUGCCACCACUGAAGCCAGAUUUGUAAGCCUGAACCCUGUUUCUUUCAAAACCACUAACAUAGAGUAACUGCAGAUGACUGAUAUUGUUGCAACAUCUUAAAAGCAAAUAAAAAGUAUUGGA